rnacentral:rRNA from 1 species
GAUGAACGCUGGCGGCGUGCCUAAUACAUGCAAGUAGAACGCUGAAGCUUGGUGCUUGCACCGAGCGGAUGAGUUGCGAACGGGUGAGUAACGCGUAGGUAACCUGCCUCUUAGCGGGGGAUAACUAUUGGAAACGAUAGCUAAUACCGCAUAAAAGUCGAUAUCGCAUGAUAUUGAUUUGAAAGGUGCAAAUGCAUCACUAAGAGAUGGACCUGCGUUGUAUUAGCUAGUUGGUGAGGUAACGGCUCACCAAGGCGACGAUACAUAGCCGACCUGAGAGGGUGAUCGGCCACACUGGGACUGAGACACGGCCCAGACUCCUACGGGAGGCAGCAGUAGGGAAUCUUCGGCAAUGGGGGCAACCCUGACCGAGCAACGCCGCGUGAGUGAAGAAAGUUUUCGGAUCGUAAAGCUCUGUUGUAAGAGAAGAACGAGUGUGAGAGUGGAAAGUUCACACUGUGACGGUAACUUACCAGAAAGGGACGGCUAACUACGUG